AUACGUAGGGUGCGAGCGUUGUCCGGAAUUACUGGGCGUAAAGAGCUCGUAGGUGGUUUGUCGCGUCGUCUGUGAAAUUCCGGGGCUUAACUCCGGGCGUGCAGGCGAUACGGGCAUAACUUGAGUACUGUAGGGGAGACUGGAAUUCCUGGUGUAGCGGUGAAAUGCGCAGAUAUCAGGAGGAACACCGGUGGCGAAGGCGGGUCUUUGGGCAGUAACUGACGCUGAGGAGCGAAAGCAUGGGUAGCGAACAGGAUUAGAUACCCUGGUAGUCCAUGCCGUAAACGGUGGGCGCUAGGUGUAGGGGUCUUCCACGACUUCUGUGCCGUAGCUAACGCAUUAAGCGCCCCGCCUGGGGAGUACGGCCGCAAGGCUAAAACUCAAAGGAAUUGACGGGG
rnacentral:rRNA from 1 species